UGGGAUUUCCCAUUGCACAGCAGUGCCAUGCAAGGUAUUUUGUGUGGGUUUUUUUUUGUUAUAGUGCCAUUGAUUUGAGGCUGUCAUAAUAAUUCUAAACCCUAAGGUAAAGAGAAAACUAUUUGUUUAUCCCUUUACCCCUCCCCCAUAUGGCCUUGUUUAGAACUUGCUUUGGGGUUUGAAAAAACUGCAUUUACACAUAAUUAGCUGGCGUAUUCCUGGUGUAAUGCCAUUAGGGACAGCAAUGUGGCACCAGGCAGCACCUGGCAGGCUGGCUUGUUGAGGCACUGGAGGCAAGAUAGUCUCAUUAGCACCAAGCUCUGUCUGGUUUGCAGCAGCCAUGUUAAUGAACUACACUGUUCUAGGUAGCCAUAUCCUUGUGUCAGUAGGAUAAGCAACUAAGCUUAAUUUUGAAUAGCUUUUUUUAAGGUUUGAUAUUUUUACUGGAAAAAUACAAGUGUAUGCAGCCUUGCCUGAUGCUGCUUCUGUUUCCAGUGCUCAAAGAAUGCAACUGGCCUGUUUGCAAUUUCUGCUUCAGCUUAAAACCAACAUGAACACAUUUCUGAGGAUUUAUGAUGCUGUGUUAAGCUAGGCUAUCUGACAUAAUCACGUAAUUAAAUAUCUAGUUCUUUCAUGGAGCUGUAAUUAAAUAUCGGGCCUCCCUGAGGAGCCAGAAGAGAAGGAAAACACGGAAGGGGAGUAAUUGCCAGUGAGUCACCCCUGAGGGGGGAAAUCCAGGCCCCAGGUCUCAGCCCAGGGAUUUCUCACAGGGCUGGUGAGAGGGCAGGAAGGCUUGGGGUGACAAGGUUAGGCCGGUGGCUGUGGGAUGAUGUGGGCCUUGGGGAGCCCAGGCAGGUGAGGGCUGGCUCACAGCCACACGGUGCCAGGUGGGUGACAGCACGGCCUCCCCUGAGCUGAGAGAAAUGCUCGGGGAGAGCUGAGGAGAAACUUGAAAUGGGCCGUAGCCUGAAGAUAUUAUACUCUUCCCCGGCUGACAGCCUCAGUCUGGAGAUCGGCCAGGGAGGACGAGAAUGGGGCCCUUGGGGUCCAAAGAUAUUAACAAAAUAAAUAACCCUGACCGCAGCCCCCCUCCCUCUCCCCUCAACACAUUCCGUGCAGGAGCCAGGAGCACCCUUCCUUUCCCGCCGCCUCCUGAGGUAAAUCAGGCGCACCGCGUCUGCUUUGUAUUAUUAGAAAAGGGAAAUGAAAAAAAACAAUGUAAACACUCUUACAAUUGCUGCGGAAACUGGAUAUAACCAGGUUAUUCAAAGGGAAAAAAAUUCAGCCAUUCAUAUAUGCCCAAGUUUGCUUUCACAUCUGUUAAUUGUAAGGGGAUGAUUGUGGUUGAGGGCCUGGUUCAGCAUAGGCAGCUGCAGUGGCAGCAGGGACUGGUGCUCGGUGGCUGUGCCCUGCACAACUGUGAGGCUUUAAACCAUGAAAUGAGCAGUGUUUUAAAGUCUUUAAAGAACAGAAAAUGUUACUGGCAUUCCUGUUAUGACAUUGGAUCUGGAGGUGUUAGCUGACAGGCUGAGCCUGAGCCAGCAGUGUGCCCGGGUGGCACUGGGGGGUCAUGGUUUGGAGUGGUCGCAGGCCUGGCUUUCUGGUUGGACAAGGUGAUCUUAGUGGUAUUUCCAACCUUAAUGAUUCUGUGAUUGUGUUGUGUCGUAAUGCUUUUAUGUUACUAUUGUAUCAUCCUCCAUUGAAGUCCUUUUAAUGUCAAGCUGCUGGUCUUUUGCCUCUGAAAACCUUUGUUAUUUUAGUAUGCAUGCAACCAUUAGCUUAAAAUCAAGGCAAGUCUUGUUUUGCUCUGCUUCCUCAAGUGAAUGUCAGACAAAUUUUAGAGCUGUCACCUCCUUCUUACUGAAGUGGUGAUCUUGGUAGUCAUGAAUUCAAAAUACUACAUUCAAGUUUCUUGAUUGUAGGCUUCAAAUAACAUCAUCUCCUAAGAAAUGCAGUAUUGUCAUUGCCCAUUAUUAUAUUAGGAAUUUUACAGUAUUCAAAACUUGUUUUAGUGGGUUUUUAAUUUUUUAAUUUUUAUGGUAUUUAAUUUUCAAUAUUCUACCCCCAGAAUCUAUGAUUUGUGGCAUUUUUGGCUAUUUGUAAGAUGAUCUUUCUGUGACUGAAAUCUCUAAACAUUCCUUCCAGAGGUAAAACCUUUUAUUCUGACAACUAAAAAGAACCCAAGGCUUCUUAAGGAGGAAAAAAACAUCUGCCAAUCCCCAUGAUUUUCUGUUUGGAAGCUGUUUUCAUUUUUACUGCUUUGAGUUGUCAAUAUUGAAAAUAACUAGAGCAGAAGAUGAAAGCAUGUUCUGUGCCUGCUCAAAUAAACUCUCAAGAUAUUUAGGUUUUCUAAGUGGUUUUUUAAUUUUAGACAAUAAGCUCUUUUUAUGUGAUGAGUGCUUUCAGUAAGUUGUAUAGAUGUUUUUCUAGUAGGAGCUUUUUCUGUAAACUUCGUCAGUAGAAUAAUAAUUAAAAUGUAAAUAAAUAAAUACUCAAUAAUGGAAAGGCCUUGCGUGCUUUCUCUGUAACAGAAUAUGGCAGUUUAAAUAAGAAACAGUAAAAAGUAGCCUUUAACAUUUUCUUGAACUGUUAUGCUCUAAAUUUUGAUGUACAAGGCUAUUAUCACAUUAUGACUCAAUCCUCCUUUUUAACAUCUUUCAGUAUACAUAUCUUAAGCAAGUUUAUGUACAUGUAAGGCAUUUGGCAGCAUUUGAAUGAAAUGCAUUAAUUUCAUCCUUUCAUGAGUUUCUGUACUUCUUGCCUUGCGGAGUACUUAGGGAGCAUGAGUAUUUUCAUAGAUAUCUCCAACAUCUGUUUUUAAUAUUCUAACAUCUUUCUUCCGUGUACAUUUGAUAGACAACAUACUUUUGGCAGUCUCUGUUAUUAGAAUUGCCAAAAUGUUGAUAUUAAUCUGAGUGACUUGGUUUUUAAUGAGUGCAAGCCAGAAUGAGCCUUUUCAGAGACUCAUCUUUGGAACCAAGUUAUUUCUAGGAAGCCAAAUGUUUCAACAUUCUUUUUAGGCAAUCAGAAAUAGAUUUAUAAUAGAAUAAGCAAAUGAUUUCUGUUCAUGAGCAGUCAUUCAAAUAUAUCAGUUCCUUUCUCUCUGUUUCUGAUCUGUGUAUUUUUAGAUACAGCGCUGUUAGAACUCUGUCCAAGUGCCAGGCCAGAGGAUUUUGUUUCACUGUGAACUUAACCCCCUGAAAUGCCUAUUUAAAGGGGAUUGAUAUGAAUGUAUAAAGGGUAUUUCAUUAAAAGAUUUUCAGACACUUAAAUGUUACAGUGAGGAGUACUGUGCUGUUUUUAAACAUCUGACUACAGACUGAAAGGCACAGCCUUGAGUUGAGCACCAGGGCUUCUUAUGUGAUGUGUGAGAAGUCCCCUCUGAAGGGGCCGUGCAAACACCAAAUGACACCAGAAAACAAAAAGGGAGCCAGUAUGGAAGUACCUCCAGGUACUCCACAUUUGCAGUUAAGUUCUGGACAGGAGAAAUGUUAGGUGACUCCCAUUUCUUUGGAUUGUGCCAUCUGAUGGUGGUUAGAUGGCUGUAAGAUUCUGCUGGAAUUAAAUCCCUUCGUGGCAGAGACCUUAUUCCCCUCACAUGUGUUUCUUGUAUGUCUCUGAAGAGUUCAUUAGCCAUAGACUGACAAGCUAUUCUGUACAGGUGUAAACUCAUUUUCUCCUAGGGAAGCUGUUCUUGAGGUUUGCAAGCCUUGGGGACAGGGCAAACAUGGCCUGGGUUUCUAAACUCUCUGAAGAGUGUGAGGGAAAGACAUGGUUUCAGUCUCUCACUGAAGGGUUAUUGUGGUGGACAAUCUAUAAAAACUAACUUUUUCUAUUCUAGAAUGAUGUGGAUGUUUCUGCUUUUUCUGAAGAGGUCGGUAUGAGCAAGGAGAGUGUAUACUGGAUCGGGUGGAAGUGAUGACUGCAUGAAUCCUGAUGGACCCAGGAAAGAAUCUGCAGAAACAAGUGAAAAGUCCAUGCAGAUACUGAAAUCCUGUCCUCAUCAAGAUUCUGAAGAUGUUCAACCACUAAGACUUACACUACUGGCCAGUAAAAUUACAGCUUAUAAUUUACCCAAGAAAGAAAAGAUCUAAAUCUAUCCUUAAGGAAAACGAACUGCUCUCAACUGUGGAUAAAGGCCAGGUGAGUGGGAUUCCCAGCAGCAAGGGGUUAAUGGUUGAGAAGCUAAACCUCCUAGAGAAGUAAAUCUGUCUGCUGUAGAAAGUUUUGUCAGAACUUCUGGCUUCGCCUCUGCUCUGAGCCUCCUCUGGUCACAUGUUAAGAUAUUAGAGAACACCUGAAUCAAAGGGAAUCUAGCUGAACAACAGAUGCAAGAGCAACAGCUGUUUAAGUGAAAUUCUCAGCCAACUGUGUUGGGUGCCUGCAGAACCCUUCCUAAUGAGCUGCGCAGUGAUGCACUACGGGAUACAGAGAGGAAGUGAUCCAUGGGAGGGUAUUUCACGAGAAGGAGUCUAAGCAAGAACUGCCCUGUCUCUUUCAACCAAGUCUGCCAGUUUAUCCAAAAGUUGGCCUCUUUCCGAUGCAUCCAUUCUCCUCCAAACUGAACCCAGAGAAAAAGCAAGGCGAGCUGCUCUCACUGCCUUGUCCGUGUCAACCUAUCAAGAAAGAAGAAAUAAAUAAGGGUAUGUCCUGCACAAAAUCCAGCCUGCCAGACAGCAACGGUACCUUCUCCUAUUUUGGCUUCUCACUGUGCCACAUGCUGAUGUAGCAUCCAUUAUUUCAAUUUAGUCUCAUUAAAGGGAUUACUUCGCA